rnacentral:rRNA from 1 species
UAUGUGAUCGUCUCUCGCAUAUCAAUAAGCGGAGGAAAAGAAACUAACAAGGAUUCCCCUAGUAACGGCGAGUGAAGCGGGAAGAGCUCAAAUUUGAAAUCUUAAAGGGUUUCCCUUUACGAAUUGUAGUUUAAAGAAGUGUUUUCUGUUGAGGUUUUGGUAAAAGUUCUUUGGAAUAGGACAUCAUAGAGGGUGAGAAUCCCGUAUUUGACCUUUACUUUCAACUUUGUGAUACACUUUCGAAAGAGUCGGAUUGUUUGGGAAUGCAGUCCAAAAUGGGUGGUAAAUUUCAUCUAAAGCUAAAUAUUGGCGAGGAGACCGAUAGCGAACAAGUACCGUGAGGGAAAGACUGAAAAGAACUUUGAAAAGAGAGUUAAACAGUACGUGAAAUUGUCAAAAGGGAAGCGUUUGACACCAGUGUUGUUUUUCUGAAAAUCAAUUAAAGAACUGUUUAUGCUAAGCUGUUUAGACUUUAUCAGCUAUCUGUUUAGUUUUGAGCUUUUCUUUAAUGCACUUUUCAGUUAACAAGUCAACAUCAAUUUCUUUUGCUGUAAAAAAGCUUGAGGAAGGUGGCUUGAGAUUCGUCUUAAGUGUUUAUAGCCUCUUGCCUAUGCAGUCGGAGAGAUUGAGGUCUGCAGCGUAGAUCCUUCGGGGCUAAAUGCAUUUGUGCUAAGUUAUAGCAUUUUCAUAGACAACUUGUUGACUAUGAUUUGUCUUGUAGCUUACUCGCUUAUGUUAUUUUACCUACGCUUAGGAUGUUGAUAUGCAUGACUGAUAU